rnacentral:rRNA from 1 species
CGAGCGGCGGACGGGUGAGUAAUGGCUGGGAACCUGCCCUGACGUGGGGGAUAACAGUUGGAAACGACUGCUAAUACCGCAUGAUGUCUUCGGACCAAAGAGGAGGACCUUCGGGCUUCUCGCGUCGGGAUGGGCCCAGUUGGGAUUAGCUAGUUGGUGAGGUAAUGGCUCACCAAGGCGACGAUCCCUAGCUGGUUUGAGAGGAUGAUCAGCCACACUGGAACUGAGACACGGUCCAGACUCCUACGGGAGGCAGCAGUGGGGAAUAUUGCACAAUGGGCGCAAGCCUGAUGCAGCCAUGCCGCGUGUGUGAAGAAGGCCUUCGGGUUGUAAAGCACUUUCAGCAGUGAGGAAGGCGUAGUGGUUAAUACCCGCUGCGCUUGACGUUAGCUGCAGAAGAAGCACCGGCUAACUCCGUGCCAGCAGCCGCGGUAAUACGGAGGGUGCGAGCGUUAAUCGGAAUUACUGGGCGUAAAGCGCAUGCAGGCGGUUUGUUAAGCAAGAUGUGAAAGCCCCGGGCUCAACCUGGGAACCGCAUUUUGAACUGGCAGGCUAGAGUCUUGUAGAGGGGGGUAGAAUUUCAGGUGUAGCGGUGAAAUGCGUAGAGAUCUGAAGGAAUACCGGUGGCGAAGGCGGCCCCCUGGACAAAGACUGACGCUCAGAUGCGAAAGCGUGGGGAGCAAACAGGAUUAGAUACCCUGGUAGUCCACGCUGUAAACGAUGUCUACUUGGAGGUUGCGGUCUUGAACUGUGGCUUUCGGAGCUAACGCGUUAAGUAGACCGCCUGGGGAGUACGGUCGCAAGAUUAAAACUCAAAUGAAUUGACGGGGGCCCGCACAAGCGGUGGAGCAUGUGGUUUAAUUCGAUGCAACGCGAAGAACCUUACCUACUCUUGACAUCCACAGAAUUCGCUAGAGAUAGCUUAGUGCCUUCGGGAACUGUGAGACAGGUGCUGCAUGGCUGUCGUCAGCUCGUGUUGUGAAAUGUUGGGUUAAGUCCCGCAACGAGCGCAACCCUUAUCCUUGUUUGCCAGCGAGUAAUGUCGGGAACUCCAGGGAGACUGCCGGUGAUAAACCGGAGGAAGGUGGGGACGACGUCAAGUCAUCAUGGCCCUUACGAGUAGGGCUACACACGUGCUACAAUGGCAUAUACAGAGGGCAGCAAGCUAGCGAGGUGGAGCGAAUCCCAGAAAGUAUGUCGUAGUCCGGAUUGGAGUCUGCAACUCGACUCCAUG